rnacentral:rRNA from 1 species
UCUUGACCUCGGAUCAGGUAGGGAUACCCGCUGAACUUAAGCAUAUCAU